rnacentral:rRNA from 1 species
AGAGUUUGAUCUUGGCUCAGGACGAACGCUGGCGGCGUGCGUAAUACAUGCAAGUAGAACGCUGAAGAGAGGAGCUUGCUCUUCUUGGAUGAGUUGCGAACGGGUGAGUAACGCGUAGGUAACCUGCCUUGUAGCGGGGGAUAACUAUUGGAAACGAUAGCUAAUACCGCAUAACAAUGGAUGACACAUGUCAUUUAUUUGAAAGGGGCAAUUGCUCCACUACAAGAUGGACCUGCGUUGUAUUAGCUAGUAGGUGAGGUAAUGGCUCACCUAGGCGACGAUACAUAGCCGACCUGAGAGGGUGAUCGGCCACACUGGGACUGAGACACGGCCCAGACUCCUACGGGAGGCAGCAGUAGGGAAUCUUCGGCAAUGGGGGCAACCCUGACCGAGCAACGCCGCGUGAGUGAAGAAGGUUUUCGGAUCGUAAAGCUCUGUUGUAAGUCAAGAACGGGUGUGAGAGUGGAAAGUUCACACUGUGACGGUAGCUUACCAGAAAGGGACGGCUAACUACGUGCCAGCAGCCGCGGUAAUACGUAGGUCCCGAGCGUUGUCCGGAUUUAUUGGGCGUAAAGCGAGCGCAGGCGGUUUGAUAAGUCUGAAGUUAAAGGCUGUGGCUCAACCAUAGUUCGCUUUGGAAACUGUCAAACUUGAGUGCAGAAGGGGAGAGUGGAAUUCCAUGUGUAGCGGUGAAAUGCGUAGAUAUAUGGAGGAACACCGGUGGCGAAAGCGGCUCUCUGGUCUGUAACUGACGCUGAGGCUCGAAAGCGUGGGGAGCGAACAGGAUUAGAUACCCUGGUAGUCCACGCCGUAAACGAUGAGUGCUAGGUGUUGGAUCCUUUCCGGGAUUCAGUGCCGCAGCU